UCCAAUGGAGCGUGCUAUACUGGAUUGGGAAAUGCGAUACAAAAUCACCUGGGGCAUUGCUCAGGGACUUCUUUACCUUCAUGAAGAUUCUUAACUUCGAAUUAUUCAUGGUGAUCUCAAACCAAGCAACAUUAUGUUGAUUCAGAAAUAAAUCCAAAAUUUUCAGAUUUUGGAAUGGCAAGUUUGUUCGCAAUGGAUCAAACCCAACACGAUACAAGCAGAGUCAUGGGAACCUAGUAAGUAAGAUAGUCAUCGUAGAGCUUCCGACUACAGUUUUUAUCAAACAUUAAAAAAGAUCUUUAGAUUACUUGUUAAGCGUUGGUGUUAGUAACAAUAAUCAUCAAUUUCGCUGUUAUCUGAAUUAAUAUCAAUUUCGCUGUUAUCUGAAUUAAUAAAUAAUGCAUGACAAAAAGUUUGAUUCUUAUACUUACCAGUUACUAUGUGCUGACGAUUCUACUCGUUUCAUCUUGUGUUUGAUCCAUAGCAAACAACCUUGCCUUGCCAAAAUCUGAAAUUUUUGCAUUCAGUGCUGCAUCUAACAGAACGUUACCAGUCUUGAUAUCGCAAUGAAUUAUCCGAUGUUGAGAUUCUUCGUGCAGCUCUAAUGACGCUAAAGUCGAAUUGCAAGGAUUCCAUAGUUUUGAUUUCAUCAGCUGCUUCAACAACAGAACUAGUCAAAGACAACACAAAGAAAAAGGUCCAAAACCACCUUGUCCAAGCUUAUUAGCUUGAGAGAAGUUCUCUGUUGCAGCUCUAAUGAAGCUAAAGUCGUAUUGCAAGGAUUCCACAAUUUCGAUUUCAUCAGCUGCUUCAGCAAAAUAAUAAUUCAAAGACAACAUAAAGGAAAAGGUUGGAAUUAGUGCAGAAGCAUUAUAUAAACAAUAUUUGCAUUCUUCCUGUGAUAAAUCAGGAGUACAUUGCACAAGAGCAUAUAUUGGUUGAAGGUUAGGCCCUGCUAAUUCUCCCACGGCAUACUUUCUUUGAGAAUUUC